rnacentral:lncRNA from 1 species
CUAGAUUUAAAUAUAGUGACAGUUCAGUAUUAUGCUUUAAGUACUAGUACUGAUUAAUUCAACACUAGGGACCUGAUCUUUACCUUGUUUUACGGUAUUAAUGAUUUUUUUUUUGUUGAAGACCCUCCAGCAACUAUCAAGAUGAAGAACAUGAAUAAAAACUUUGACCAUUGAUCAUUUGUAUUUUUUCGAUGCAUUGACUUUGUGUGCGAUUAGCCUGUCCCGUGCACGUUUACCUCAUAUUCCUUUAUUUUCUGUUAAUUGGUCUGAACACGAC